CUGGAACCUUCUGGAAGGUACAGGCUGGGGUGGGCAGGAGGUCCCUCAGCUCAUCUCAGCACCUUGUCCUGGGAAUGCGUGUCCAGACUGCAGGAAGAAGAGUGUCAGGUCUCCUCUUCCCCACUGGAGUUUCUAUCCACAGAUCCAAGUCAGGGUAAGUUGUUAAAGAAAUGCAGAUUAAAGAGAAAAGAGACACAGAAAUGCUUGGAGGCGAAGGGAAGAUUUUAGUGAGAGACAUAAAGCUCCAUCUAUUUAGAUAAGGUGCAGGCUGAAUGGAUUAUGAUCCACUUAUGCAGAAAGAUUAGCCAAAAGGGUUUCUGGCUGUCUGAUUUUCAUAUGACCUACUGAGGACACUCUGAGCCUAUUGAACUCCAGCUGUAUCCAAGCAAACCUGCCCCCAGCAGAACUAGAAGGAAAACCUGAAGCUGUGAUGUUACA